rnacentral:rRNA from 1 species
CGGACGGGUGAGUAACGCGUGAGGAUCUGCCCUUAGGAGGGGGACAACAGUUGGAAACGACUGCUAAUACCCCAUAUGUCUACGGAUGAAAGAUUUUAUCGCCUGAGGAUGAACUCGCGUCUGAUUAGCUAGUUGGUGAGGUAAGGGCUCACCAAGGCGACGAUCAGUAGCUGGUCUGAGAGGAUGAUCAGCCACACUGGGACUGAGACACGGCCCAGACUCCAACGGGAGGCAGCAGUGGGGAAUUUUCCGCAAUGGGGGCAACCCUGACGGAGCAAUACCGCGUGCGGGAGGACGGCCUGUGGGUUGUAAACCGCUUUUCUCAGGGAAGAAGACCUGACGGUACCUGAGGAAUCAGCAUCGGCUAACUCCGUGCCAGCAGCCGCGGUAAUACGGAGGAUGCAAGCGUUAUCCGGAAUUAUUGGGCGUAAAGCGUCCGUAGGUGGUUAAUCAAGUCUGCUGUUAAAGAGCGGAGCUUAACUCCGUUUAAGCGGUGGAAACUGGUUAACUAGAGAGUGGUAGGGGUAGAGGGAAUUCCCAGUGUAGCGGUGAAAUGCGUAGAUAUUGGGAAGAACACCGGUGGCGAAAGCGCUCUACUGGGCCACAUCUGACACUGAUGGACGAAAGCUAGGGGACUAAUGGGAUUAGAUACCCCAGUAGUC